UACGGAGGGAGCUAGCGUUGUUCGGAAUUACUGGGCGUAAAGCGCACGUAGGCGGCUUUGUAAGUUAGAGGUGAAAGCCUGGAGCUCAACUCCAGAAUUGCCUUUAAGACUGCAUCGCUUGAAUCCAGGAGAGGUGAGUGGAAUUCCGAGUGUAGAGGUGAAAUUCGUAGAUAUUCGGAAGAACACCAGUGGCGAAGGCGGCUCACUGGACUGGUACUGACGCUGAGGUGCGAAAGCGUGGGGAGCAAACAGG
rnacentral:rRNA from 1 species